ACUACACUGAAAUGUCAUAUACUGGUAUGGUUAUAAAAGUAUAAAUUUUGACUCACAGCUCAAUAUGGUGGCCUGCAGGUCUUCAUUCUUGAUGGGAUUCAGAAACUGAACUACUGUGUCUUCACAGACAAAUAAUCCAAAAUCAGCAUAAGAGUGUGGAGUAAACAGCAUCAAGCCUCUCUUUAAUAGGGAACUCAUCUAUAAAAACAAACACUUGUUAUACUUUUAUGAAUUAUCAAGUUGUACAACACACAGCAAUAAGGAUUUAGACAAACAAUCACAGAUUUUAUUAAUUUUAUUGUUGUGUCUAAUAUAUAUAGAAACAACUUGUGUUGUAAAAGAAAGGAUGACAGCAUAUCUCUUUAUCACGUGCCAGUAUAGGCCCUGACUGCACGUGAGAACGUUUGAAUUAUCUGGCACGAGGCCUCACACGUCAUACUUCAACUGACACAACGGUCUCGAUGGGUAAGAUUUCGUUACCAUAUACAGUAAAUAUUGGUUCAAGAGGGCAGUUUGAUAACUCAGUCGAGGUUUGUAAAUGGGGUUUCUGUUCCUGCAGUCUUUCAGGGGUGCUGGCGCGUAUGACGAUGCGGACAUGAACAGCAUACUACACUUUUAAACAUCUAAACAUGUCCUCCAAAAAGGAAAAAGGAAAAAACAUUGGAAAACAAUUUUAGCCUAAGGUUUCCUGUGCUGUUUUGCUCCAUUUUACUGAACAAAAUAAGGCUGAGGUAGCACCAUCCUUGUGGUUAGAGUGAAAGAAUGUGGGUAUUGAGACCAAAAUAAACAAUGUGCCAUUCUGGACAAACAGCUGUGGACAAUAUGCAGUCAGAGUAGCCCAUUUUCUCACACAGACCUGAAGAUAAGAUUUCCAGUUUAAAAGUGAAGAAAAUGAAUCAUUAUUAACAGCAAAUAGGAGUAUUUCUCAGCUGAAAAGCCAGGUGAAACUAUAAGGUCACUAUGAUUCACUUUCAUAUUAUCAUUCUUUUCAGAUUUUUUUCCCUGUGUUUUUUUUUUUGUUAGAUGAGGAGCAACCAGUAAGAAAAAGCAAAAAGAUGUUUUGAUGUUGCCUGAGGCACCUUAUUUUCCAUUUCAUGCACAAUCACAAAUGCAGCACAUCAAUCAAUUUUUUCCAACCAGCGAAUCAAGAAAUCUUGGAGUGGAGAAUCAUUCUGAAAGUAGACCAAAUCCAGGACAACAUCACAACAGUGGUCGGAAAAAUGCAGCAAGCCAAGCUGACUUUCAAAAGAUGAUUCGUUAUCUGUUUCUUCAGAGGGGAGGCAGUUUGGGAGAUGGGAAUUAGGAGGAUGCUACAGUUACACAGGGCAAAUUUCAGCAGCUCAGUUUCAAACUUGCAACUAACAUUGAGUUAAAGUUAGAAGACCACGGAAAUAUUUGACAUCGGAGUCCAGCAGACAGCCAGAGACACGCACACACACGCAGCUGAAGCGCGUUUGACUGACGCGUACGGGAGAUCCGGCACGCGCACGGGAGCUCGCGCACGCUCACACAAACACGGAGCACAGGAUAAUUACAACUGUUUAAUUAAAAUAAAAGAACUUUGUGGUAUACAA